rnacentral:rRNA from 1 species
UGGGGAAUUUUGGACAAUGGGCGAAAGCCUGAUCCAGCAAUGCCGCGUGCAGGAAGAAGGCCUUCGGGUUGUAAACUGCUUUUGUACGGAACGAAAAGGCUCUUUCUAAUAAAGAGGGCCCAUGACGGUACCGUAAGAAUAAGCACCGGCUAACUACGUGCCAGCAGCCGCGGUAAUACGUAGGGUGCGAGCGUUAAUCGGAAUUACUGGGCGUAAAGCGUGCGCAGGCGGUUCUAUAAGACAGAUGUGAAAUCCCCGGGCUCAACCUGGGAAUGGCAUUUGCGACUGUAGAGCUAGAGUACGGUAGAGGGGGAUGGAAUUCCGCGUGUAGCAGUGAAAUGCGUAGAUAUGCGGAGGAACACCGAUGGCGAAGGCAAUCCCCUGGACCUGUACUGACGCUCAUGCACGAAAGCGUGGGGAGCAAACAGGAUUAGAUACCCGUGUAGUCCCUGAGCGGGCUGGCAAGGCGCAU